CGCAAUGGGCGCGGACGAUCGAUGGCGCGGACGAUGCGCGCCAUCGGGCGUGCCAUCGUCCGCCCAUUGCGGAUGGCCUCAGUACAGUCCUGAUCACCGCGUCCCCCGGAGGUUUGCUUCCUGGGAAAGUGGACCCUUCAACGGGCUUUGGUCUGCCCCCUGCAGUCCUGCACGCUAGAAAUCCGUUGGAAGAAGACAAAGGUGUAUGCUUGCAUGAGAUCCAUGUCCGGGAAUGUGUUGUUUCCGAGCAGGCACGAGUAAAAGAAGAAGAUGAAGAUGAUGUUUAUUUAAGGGAAUGGACUGAUGUUUUAAGGCGGCCGGAGUGGAGCCACCAGUGGUAGGUGUUGAAGAUCAAGACAUGGUAGCCUAGCCAGAGGGCGAGGGUGUGGAGCAUCAAGAAUCCGUUUAUCAACAACUUAAGCGUGAAAUCGUAUUCCUUUAAUUUACAAAAGGGAAGGGAAGGGAAGGGAAGAAGAGUUGGUAGUUACUCCAUUUACUGUUAUUAUUAGCAAAAUGGAAACAAUAAUAAUAAUAAUAAUAAUGUGAUUGAGUUGUUGAUUUGAUGUACCACCGGGAAGAUGGGGACAGAGGCGUGAAGGAAGCAUGCAUGCACGCCAUAGAUUCCCACUCAGUGACUCUCCCACAUACAUUACCUUUUUGCCCCCUGUACCUCUCCAUUCCAUACAUUCAUAAUUCACUCUUUUAACAUUUAUUACUACUCCUAUCAUUCUUUUUUUAGACUAAAGUCCCUUUUUGGUCCUUAACAUUUAACGAUUUUUUGAUUUUAGUCUAUAACAUUAUCUUUUGAAUUAUUUAGUCCCUCACUAAUAAAAUCGAUCACAUUUGGUCCAAAAUGGAUGGAACCGUUAAAAUUUAACAGUCAACGGGUUUUAAAUCAAUAUUGACCGAAGUAAGUUAAUAAUUAUGUUUAAUUAAUGUCUAAUAUCUAAUUAACCAAAAUCUAAAAAAUUACAUAUCGUCGUGGAUUUCUUCGCUGAGGGAUGAAUGCUUCGUUCUAGCAUGGCGAUUCCGUUCACAAUUAACAAAAUUAUUAAUACAGCAAGGGGAUCCAGUACAUUGAAGCCUUAGCGAAGGAAUUAACCCUAAAUCGGAGGAAAUCGGGAUUAUUACUGAAGAUGCUAGCGAGAUAGGAGGACCAGGUUCGCCCUAAUCCGGCGGCGCCGACGAGUCCUUCGAGCAAAAUGUUACCGGCGGCGAUGAACGCGAUGAAAUCCCCUAACUCGAGGCGGAGGAAGGAGGAGGAUCCACCAGCAACGGGGAUCUCGACGGCGAAUUCGGUGUAGCAGAAGACGGAGAGGAGAGCGGAGAGGCCGGAGACGGCGUAGGAGGCGAUGAUCGCGGGGCAGGCGGUGUCGCGCGUCUCCAAUUCGGUAAUGCUGAAGAUGCCAGAGCCGAUGACGGAGCCAGAUCAGGUCCUAUCAGGUGAGGCACUUCUUCAUCUCGUGCUCGGAUUGCUUCUUCGCCUCGAUGAGCCGUCGGAUUCGGAGGCGCGGCCGAGGAGACGGUCGCGGAGGCGGCGGUGCGGUGGCGGAGAGGGCGGAGAGGUAGGCGGAGGAGCUCUGGAAUGAAGGCUCCGAGAAGAAGUCGUGCUUGCUGAAUCGCGAUUUUUCUCUGGCGGUGAGGGGAGAGAUGUGAGGUCGUCGAGAUUUUGAUUUUGGUUUGAUUAGUGUAUCGCAUUUGUGGAGAGUGAUUGAGAUUUCUUAUAA